GCGGUGGAGCAUGUAGGUUUAAUUCGAAGCAACGCGAAGAGCCCUUUACCAGGUCUUGACAUCCCGAUGCUUAUUUCUAGAGAUAGAAAGUUACUUCGGUACAUCGGUGACAGGUGGUGCAUGGUUGUCGUCAGCUCGUGUCGUGAGAUGUUGGGUUAAGUCCCGCAACGAGCGCAACCCCUAUUGUUAGUUGCCAUCAUUCAGUUGGGCACUCUAGCGAGACUGCCGGUAAUAAACCGGAGGAAGUGGGAUGACGUCAAAUCAUCAUGCCCCUUAUGACCUGGGCUACACACGUGCUACAAUGGUUGGUACAACGAGUUGCGAGUCGGUGACGGCGAGCUAAUCUCUUAAAGCCAAUCUCAGUUCGGAUUGUAGGCUGCAACUCGCCUACAUGAAGUCGGAAUCGCUAGUAAUCGCGGAUCAGCACGCCGCGGUGAAUACGUUCCCGGGCCUU
rnacentral:rRNA from 1 species